AAAGCGAGGAGGAAUCAAACGACAAGGAUAUAGCGGAAGCAUACAACCAACUUCUUAUUGAUUCGAAAAAGAUGACCAAGCUCAAUAAGAAGUUGAGGCGUCGUUUAUUGGACAUUGAAGAGGAGAACAAAAAUUUGAAGACAAUGAAUAAAGCUCUUGAGGAGGAAAAGGAAUCAAUUUCGAAGAAUAACUUAAUCCUCCAAGAGAAACUUGAUGAAGCGGAAUCAACGAUCAAAUCGUAUAAAGACAAGGUUGGAUUUUUGGAGCAACAAUUUGAGGAAUCG
rnacentral:lncRNA from 1 species